rnacentral:lncRNA from 1 species
AACAAUUGUCCAUCAAUGCACUACGGGCCAAUGAGAACUUUUACCACAUCAUUUAUAACAUUACGGUCAAGAUUAUACCGAAUAAUCCCUGGUCAUAAUCAUACCAAGUCCAUCUAUGCACGAUAGGCCACAGAUGACUUUCAACAUAAUAUAAACAUGAGGAUGAUGACAAUUCAAUAAAACAAGUUCAAGAAUAAAUUUUAAAGAUUUAUAAGUUAAUU